rnacentral:tRNA from 1 species
CUGCCUGUAGCACAAAGGCUAAUGCAUCAGAUUCCGAUUCUGAAGAUUUUGGGUUCGACCCCCAACAGGCAGGCCA